rnacentral:piRNA from 1 species
UUCUCUUUGGGUGAACCACUGCCGUGACUA